UAAUCUGAAUUUAACGACGUGCC
rnacentral:siRNA from 1 species